GAUGAACGCUAGCUACAGGCUUAACACAUGCAAGUCGAGGGGUCUGCUUCGGCAGACGACCGGCGCACGGGUGAGUAACGCGUAUCCAACCUGCCCUUCAUAUUGGGAUAGCCUCUCGAAAGGGAGAUUAAUACCGAAUAACAUGAAAAGAUUGCCUGAUUUUUUCAUGAAAGCUCCGGCGAUGAAGGAUGGGGAUGCGUUCCAUUAGGUAGUAGGCGGGGUAACGGCCCACCUAGCCGACGAUGGGAUAGGGGGUUCUGAGAGGAAAGGUCCCCCCANACUGGAACUGAGACACGGUCCAGACUCCUACGGGAGCAGCAGUGAGGAAUAUUGG
rnacentral:rRNA from 1 species